AUGUAUUUUUGAAUGAUCCUGUGGACAAUAAUUUCUUAUAUAAAUGCAAAAAUCGCAAAUGCUUACACAGUCUGAAAUUAGUAACGUAAGCAUCUAAACAACUUAAGCUUUAAUAAAAAUGCAGAAAAUCAUAGCAGUUUUUCUUGUUUUAUAGGCAGCAACAGUACUUUGCCAACUUAACUGCAAUACAAUAAACUGUAUUAGUCCAUUGGUCUGUAAAGAAAAUCUAAAUGAGUGUAGAGAACUAUGCAGCUAUCGUAAUGGUUCAGUUGUCUGUACUCAAGACAACGUAAGAGGCUGUUACUGUCCCGAUGGAACUUGUAGAAUUGACAAUGUAUGUGUUGAGUAUUGACCAAUCUUGAAAAAAAAAUUGUUUAUAUAAUUUAGUGAUAAAUAAAGGUACUAAGAAA